rnacentral:rRNA from 1 species
AUGACGCUGGCGGAAUGCUUUACACCUGCAGUCGAACGGCAGCACGGACUUCGGUCUGGUGGCGAGUGGCGAACGGGUGAGUAAUACAUCGGAACGUGCCCAGUCGUGGGGGAUAACGUAGCGAAAGCUACGCUAAUACCGCAUACGAUCUAAGGAUGAAAGCGGGGGAUCGCAAGACCUCGCGCGAUUGGAGCGGCCGAUGGCAGAUUAGGUAGUUGGUAGGGUAAAGGCCUACCAAGCCGACGAUCUGUAGCUGGUCUGAGAGGACGACCAGCCACACUGGGACUGAGACACGGCCCAGACUCCUACGGGAGGCAGCAGUGGGGAAUUUUGGACAAUGGGCGAAAGCCUGAUCCAGCCAUUCCGCGUGCAGGAUGAAGGCCCUCGGGUUGUAAACUGCUUUUGUACGGAACGAAAAGGUCCUGGUUAAUACCUGGGGCUCAUGACGGUACCGUAAGAAUAAGCACCGGCUAACUACGUGCCAGCAGCCGCGGUAAUACGUAGGGUGCAAGCGUUAAUCGGAAUUACUGGGCGUAAAGCGUGCGCAGGCGGUGAUGUAAGACAGAGGUGAAAUCCCCGGGCUCAAACCUGGGAACUGCCUUUGUGACUGCAUCGCUGGAGUACGGCAGAGGGGGAUGGAAUUCCGCGUGUAGCAGUGAAAUGCGUAGAUUUGCGGAAGAACACCGAUUGGCGAAGGGGCAAUCCCCCUCGGGGCCUGUACUGACGCUCAUGCACGAAAAGCGUGGGGAGCCAAACCAGGAUUCGAUACCCUGGUUAUUCCACGGCCCUUAAAAGAUUUCACACCUGGGUUUUUUGGGUUCUCCACCGACAUUCAGACAGAGUCAACCCUGUAAAUUUACCCCCUUGGGAUUC